rnacentral:rRNA from 1 species
GACGAACGCUGGCGGCGUGCUUAACACAUGCAAGUCGAACGAAGUGGCGAACGGGUGAGUAACGCGUAAUCCACCUGCCCUUCAGAGGGGGACAACAGUUGGAAACGACUGCUAAUACCGCAUACUGAAGGAGGGGAAUGGGUCUGAUUGGCUCGGUGGAGGGGUAACGGCCCAACAAGGCGAUGAUCAGUAGCCGGGCUGAGAGGAUGAACGGCCACAUUGGGACUGAGACACGGCCCAGACGCCUACGGGAGGCAGCAGUGGGGAAUCUUCCGCAAUGGACGAAAGUCUGACGGAGCAACGCCGCGGGAGUGAUGACGGCCUUCGGGUUGUAAAGCUCUGUUAAUCGGGACGCGGUACCGGAAUAGAAAGCCACGGCUAACUACGUGCCAGCCGCCGCGGUAAUUC